GAUGAAGAACGCAGCGAAAUGCGAUAACUAAUGUGAAUUGCAGAAUUCAGUGAAUCAUCGAGUCUUUGAACGCACAUUGCGCCCCCUGGUAUUCCGGGGGGCAUGCCUGUCCGAGCGUCAUUGCUACCCUCAAGCACGGCUUGUGUGUUGGGCUCCGUCCCCCCGGGGACGGGCCCGAAAGGCAGCGGCGGCACCGAGUCCGGUCCUCGAGCGUAUGGGGCUUUGUCACCCGCUCUGUAGGCCGGGCCGGCGCCAGCCGACAACCCAUCAUCCUUUUCAGGUUGACCUCGGAUCAGGUAGGGAUACCCGCUGAACUUAAGCAUAUCAAUAAGCGGAGGA
rnacentral:misc_RNA from 1 species